rnacentral:tRNA from 1 species
GGGCCGUUAGCUCAGUUGGUAGAGCACCUGACUUUUAAUCAGGGUGUCACAGGUUCGAUUCCUGUACGGCCUACCA